CGCGAGCGAGCUCCUCUCCGCGAGCCACCGCCCUCUCCACGAGCGAGCUCCUCUUCGCGACCAGCCACCUUCCUCGCCGCGAGCAUCCGCGAGCUGGAGCUCUCCGUGAACCCUAUUCCUCUCCACGAGCCACCUUCCUCUCUGCGAGCAGUCUCCUCACCGCCAGCCCAAGCAGCAGCGGCCAGACACCUUCCUCGCCGCGAGCCACGACCCUCUCCACGAGCCCUAGCAGAAGCGCCGCGGUCCAAAUCCUGGUUGGGAAAAAAUAGUACCACCAUUACCAUCCAGCAGCAAGCCAUCCUGGUCCUGCGUUGAAUCUUCAUCGUCGCUCUGGAAAAACAUAAUCAGGAAUUUCACUAGUAGCUAAGAUAUGUUAUUUUGGACAAUGAGUAGGCCUCAAGUGAGAUGGAAUGAAGACAACUUGUAUGAAAUUGAAGCCAAUAAACUAGUGAGGCAGAAAAUAACUGAACCUAAAACACCUUAUCAUCCUAUGGUUGAGGAUGAUGGUAAGUCCGCAAAUGUUGAUUUAUUCAAACAACUUGCACUUUGAUCUAAUAUCUAUUUAACAAGUUAAAGAGGGAAUAAAUAACUUUCAGAUGCUUAAAACUCAUUCAUUGGUAAUGCAGGUUGUUUAUCGCCAAGAAGAGCUUCGCAGGUCCAAAUCAUCCUCAUCUUCUACUGCUUGCUGAUUUUUUCCCCCUUUGAUGAAGUGUCUUCUU